AUGAUAAACGGUGGCAAGCCGAAUAUCCUUCGAUCGAUCGUGACCAGGUCAGUAUGUCGCAAGUCGAACUGCGGUCGUCUUGGCGUUUUGCCCUUUUUAGCCGAAGCUAAGUCAGCCAGUUAGCUAGCCGCGUUGGUCGAGGCCCUUUGCCUUCAGAGGCGGAGGCCAUCGUAGAUUCGGCAAUGGAGUCGGAGAUUCGAC
rnacentral:lncRNA from 1 species